rnacentral:rRNA from 1 species
GAUGAACGCUGACAGAAUGCUUAACACAUGCAAGUCGAUGGGGAAGUGGUGCUUGCACCAUGGUAACCAUGGCGGACGGGUGAGUAACGCGUAAGGAACUUGCCUGCGGGACUGGGAUAACAGCAGGAAACUGCUGAUAAUACCGGAUAAGGUCAUUAAGCUGCAUAGCUUAGUGAUGAAAGGAGACGCCUGCGGAGAGCCUUGCGUCCUAUUAGCUAGUUGGAGGGGUAAUGGCCCACCAAGGCGAAGAUAGGUAGCCGGCCUGAGAGGGUGGACGGCCACAAGGGGACUGAGAUACGGCCCUUACUCCUACGGGAGGCAGCAGUGGGGAAUAUUGGACAAUGGGGGCAACCCUGAUCCAGCAAUUCUGUGUGCACGAAGACGGUUUUCGGAUUGUAAAGUGCUUUCAGCAGGGAAGAAGGAAGUGACGGUACCUGCAGAAGAAGCGACGGCUAAAUACGUG